rnacentral:rRNA from 1 species
UACGAAGGGGGCUAGCGUUGUUCGGAUUUACUGGGCGUAAAGCGCACGUAGGCGGAUUGUUAAGUCAGGGGGUGAAAUCCUGGAGCUCAACUCCAGAACUGCCUUUGAUACUGGCGAUCUUGAGUCCGGGAGAGGUGAGUGGAACUGCGAGUGUAGAGGUGAAAAUUCGUAGAUAUCGCAAGAACACCAGUGGCGAAGGCGGCUCACUGGCCCGGUACUG